ACAUGCAGUUGAGCGCUGAAGGUUGGUACUUGUACCGACUGGAUGAGCAGCGAACGGGUGAGUAACGCGUGGGGAAUCUGCCUUUGAGCGGGGGACAACAUUUGGAAACGAAUGCUAAUACCGCAUAAAAACUUUAAACACAAGUUUUAAGUUUGAAAGAUGCAAUUGCAUCACUCAAAGAUGAUCCCGCGUUGUAUUAGCUAGUUGGUGAGGUAAAGGCUCACCAAGGCGAUGAUACAUAGCCGACCUGAGAGGGUGAUCGGCCACAUUGGGACUGAGACACGGCCCAAACUCCUACGGGAGGCAGCAGUAGGGAAUCUUCGGCAAUGGACGAAAGUCUGACCGAGCAACGCCGCGUGAGUGAAGAAGGUUUUCGGAUCGUAAAACUCUGUUGGUAGAGAAGAACGUUGGUGAGAGUGGAAAGCUCAUCAAGUGACGGUAACUACCCAGAAAGGGACGGCUAACUACGUGCCAGCAGCCGCGGUAAUACGUAGGUCCCGAGCGUUGUCCGGAUUUAUUGGGCGUAAAGCGAGCGCAGGUGGUUUAUUAAGUCUGGUGUAAAAGGCAGUGGCUCAACCAUUGUAUGCAUUGGAAACUGGUAGACUUGAGUGCAGGAGAGGAGAGUGGAAUUCCAUGUGUAGCGGUGAAAUGCGUAGAUAUAUGGAGGAACACCGGUGGCGAAAGCGGCUCUCUGGCCUGUAACUGACACUGAUGCUCGAAAGCGUGGGGAGCAAACAGGAUUAGAUACCCUGGUAGUCCACGCCGUAACGAUGAGUGCUAGAUGUAGGAGCUAUAAGUUCUCUGUAUCGCAGCUAACGCAAUAAGCACUCCGCCUGGGGAGUACGACCGCAACGUUGAAACUCAAAGGAAGUGACAGGGGCCCGCACAAGCGGUUGAGCAUGUGGUUUGAGUUCGAGCUACGCGAGAACAUUACACGUCGUGAC
rnacentral:rRNA from 1 species